GGUUUUAGUGGCGAACGGGUGAGUACACGUAAGCAACCUACCCUAAAGACGAGGAUAACCAUUGGAAACAGUGGCUAAGACUGGAUAGGAAGAUAAAAGGCAUCUUUUAUCUUUUAAAAGACCUAGUAAUAGGUAUGCUUUAGGAGGGGCUUGCGCCAUAUUAGUUAGUUGGUAGGGUAAUGGCCUACCAAGACGAUGAUGUGUAGCUGGACUGAGAGGUUGAACAGCCACAUUGGGACUGAGACACGGCCCAAACUCCUACGGGAGGCAGCAGUAGGGAAUUUUCGGCAAUGGAGGAAACUCUGACCGAGCAACGCCGCGUGAAUGACGAAGUACUUCGGUAUGUAAAGUUCUUUUAUCAAGGAAGAAAAGCAAAUGGCGAACCAUUUGUUUGCCGGUACUUGAUGAAUAAGCCCCGGCUAAUUAUGUGCCAGCAGCCGCGGUAAGACAUAAGGGGCAAGUGUUAUCCGGAAUUAUUGGGCGUAAAGGGUGCGUAGGCGGUCUAGUAAGUCAGUGGUGUAAUGGCAACGCUUAACGUUGUCCGGCUAUUGAAACUGCUAAACUUGAGUUAGAUAGAGGCGAGUGGAAUUCCAUGUGUAGCGGUAAAAUGCGUAAAUAUAUGGAGGAACACCAGAGGCGUAGGCGGCUCGCUGGGUCUUAACUGACGCUGAGGCACGAAAGCGUGGGGAGCAAACAGGAUUAGAUACCCUGGUAGUCCACGCCGUAAACGAUGAGUACUAAGUGUCGGGUUAAACCGGUACUGAAGUUAACACAUUAAGUACUCCGCCUGAGUAGUACGUACGCAAGUAUGAAACUUAAAGGAAUUGACGGGACUCCGCACAAGCGGUGGAUCAUGUUGUUUAAUUCGAAGAUACCCGAAAAACCUUACCAGGUCUUGACAUGUUUUUGCAAAAUGAUAGUAAUAUCGUGGAGGUUACCAGAAACACAGGUGGUGCAUGGUUGUCGUCAGCUCGUGUCGUGAGAUGUUAGGUUAAGUCCUAAAACGAGCGAAACCCUUAUCGUUAGUUGCCAGCACGUUAUGGUGGGGACUUUAACGAGACUGCCAAUGAUAAAUUGGAGGAAGGUGAGGAUCACGUCAAAUCAGCAUGCCCCUUAUGACCUGGGCUACAAACGUGAUACAAUGGCUGUUACAAAGGGUAGCUGAAACGCAAGUUCUUGGCCAAUCCCCAAAAACAGUCCCAGUCCGGAUUGAAGUCUGCAACUCGACUUCAUGAAGUUGGAAUCGCUAGUAAUCGCGAAUCAGCAUGUCGCGGUGAAUACGUUCUCGGGGUUUGUACACACCGCCCGUCAAACCACGAAAGUUGGCAAUACCCCAAAACGGUAGCCUAACUCG
rnacentral:rRNA from 1 species